rnacentral:tRNA from 1 species
AUUUAUAUAGUUUAAAAUAAAACAAUACACUUUCAUUGUAUAAAUAAAUAAUUUAUUUUAUAAAUA